rnacentral:rRNA from 1 species
UCCCAGACUCCUACGGGAGGCAGCAGUGGGGAAUAUUGCACAAUGGGGGAAACCCUGAUGCAGCGACGCCGCGUGAGUGAAGAAGUAUCUCGGUACGUAAAGCUCUAUCAGCAGGGAAGAAAAUGACGGUACCUGAUUAAGAAGCCCCGGCUAACUACGUGCCAGCAGCCGCGGUAAUACGUAGGGGGCAAGCGUUAUCCGGAUUUACUGGGUGUAAAGGGUGCGUAGACGGGUUAGCAAGUUAGUUGUGAAAUCCCUCGGCUUAACUGAGGAACUGCAACUAAAACUGCCAAUCUUGAGUGCAGGAGAGGUAAGUGGAAUUCCUAGUGUAGCGGUGAAAUGCGUAGAUAUUAGGAGGAACACCAGUGGCGAAGGCGACUUACUGGACUGUAACUGACGUUGAGGCACGAAAGUGUGGGGAGCAAACAGGAUUAGAUACCCUGGUAGA